AUGCAGCUUCGAUCUAGGAUGUCCCAGCCACCGCCGUAUGAUGCUGCUCCGGCCGCUUCUUCGGCAGUCCGAGUGCCCCACCCAUGUCCGUCCGAGUUCCUUUGUCCGUGCUCCUUUGUGUCAAAGCUUCUGCCAGUAGAAGUGCAGAAAUCUGAAGAUCAUUUGGUGUGUCUUCAGCAAACGUUCCGUCGAGCCACUGCUGCAAAGAAAUUGGUGUUUUGGUCCGUUGAUUUCAGUUUAACAGGAGCUUCAGUAAUGGAAAACUUGAGUUUUCUUAGAAGUUUAUCUCCAAAAUGCAUGACAGCCGACGGUCCAUUUAAUCAGAGAUGA
rnacentral:rRNA from 1 species